rnacentral:rRNA from 1 species
ACUCCUACGGGAGGCAGCAGUAGGGAAUCUUCCACAAUGGGUGCAAACCUGAUGGAGCAAUGCCGCGUGAGUGAAGAAGGUCUUCGGAUCGUAAAGCUCUGUUGUUAGAGAAGAACACGUGCUAGGUAACUACUAGCGCCUUGACGGUAUCUAACCAGAAAGUCACGGCUAACUACGUGCCAGCAGCCGCGGUAAUACGUAGGUGACAAGCGUUGUCCGGAUUUAUUGGGCGUAAAGGGAGCGCAGGCGGUCUGUUUAGUCUAAUGUGAAAGCCCACGGCUUAACCGUGGAACGGCAUUGGAAACUGACAGCCUUGAAUGUAGAAGAGGAAAAUGGAAUUCCAAGUGUAGCGGUGGAAUGCGUAGAUAUUUGGAGGAACACCAGUGGCGAAGGCGAUUUUCUGGUCUAACAUUGACGCUGAGGCUCGAAAGCGUGGGGAGCGAACAGGAUUAGAUACCCCAGUAGUCCC